rnacentral:piRNA from 1 species
UAUCAGUCACAUAAGGUCUCAACUUCUC